rnacentral:rRNA from 1 species
UCCUUUAAGAAUAUAUUAAAGGUAAGGCCUGCUCAGUGAACUACUUUAAGGUAGUAUAAACAGCCGCGGUAUUUUAACUGCGCGAAGGUAGCAUAAUUAAUUGUCUUUUAAUUGGUGACUUGUUUGAACGGCUUAAUGAGGGCUAAUCUUUUUUAAACCUUUGUUGAAAUUAUUCUCUAGGGUUAAAAAACCUAGAUUUAAAAAAAAGAAGAGAAGACCCUGUUGAGUUUUACAGUAGAAAUACUGUUUAAAUGGGGCUUUACAAUAUACUGAACUUUGUAUUAGAUCCUAACAAAGCUGAAAAAUUUAUGGCUAAAGAGAUAAACUACCACAGGGAUAACAGGACAAAAUUUGCUAAGAGUACUUAUCUAAGCAAGGAACUGUUACUUCGAUGUUGAAUCAAAGUAAACUUUUAGGCGCAGAAGUUUUUGGAGUGGGUCUGUUCGACCUUUAAAACUUUA